AGCGAACGCUGGCGGCAGGCCUAACACAUGCAAGUCGAACGAACUCUUCGGAGUUAGUGGCGGACGGGUGAGUAACACGUGGGAACGUGCCUUUAGGUUCGGAAUAACUCAGGGAAACUUGUGCUAAUACCGAAUGUGCCCUUCGGGGGAAAGAUUUAUCGCCUUUAGAGCGGCCCGCGUCUGAUUAGCUAGUUGGUGAGGUAAAGGCUCACCAAGGCGACGAUCAGUAGCUGGUCUGAGAGGAUGAUCAGCCACAUUGGGACUGAGACACGGCCCAAACUCCUACGGGAGGCAGCAGUGGGGAAUCUUGCGCAAUGGGCGAAAGCCUGACGCAGCCAUGCCGCGUGAAUGAUGAAGGUCUUAGGAUUGUAAAAUUCUUUCACCGGGGACGAUAAUGGCGGUACCCGGAGAAGAAGCCCCGGCUAACUUCGUG
rnacentral:rRNA from 1 species